rnacentral:rRNA from 1 species
AGAGUUUGAUCAUGGCUCAGGAUGAACGCUGGCGGCGUGCCUAACACAUGCAAGUCGAGCGUGAAAUCUCUAAGUAAUACUUCGGUAGAGUGAAGAGAUGGAAAGCGGCGGACGGGUGAGUAACGCGUAGGUAACCUACCCCAUACACAGGGAUAGCCUAGGGAAACCUGGAUUAAUACCUGAUAAUGCAAGACUGUCACAUGACAGAAUUGCCAAAGAUUUAUCGGUAUGGGAUGGACCUGCGUCUGAUUAGUUAGUUGGUGAGGUAACGGCUCACCAAGACAGCGAUCAGUAGCCGACCUGAGAGGGUAAUCGGCCACAUUGGAACUGAGACACGGUCCAAACUCCUACGGGAGGCAGCAGUGGGGAAUAUUGCACAAUGGGCGCAAGCCUGAUGCAGCAACGCCGCGUGAGCGAAGAAGGUCUUCGGAUCGUAAAGCUCUGUCCUUGGGGAAGAAACAAAUGACG